GUACCCCUGGAAUAGCAACGUAUCCCCCCACCUGCAGCUGCUCAUUGUGCCUAUGCCUCACAACCACACAGCUUUCCAGAAGCUCCCUGCACAUGGGACCACGUGGGCUUUGUACUCACAGAUGAAAAGGUCUGUCAGAAGACAUUAUUUCCCAAACAAUCAGCAUUUAGCUCCUGAUUUCUUCGUGCCUUGGCUCCAUACAUUAUCAUUUUGCUGCAAGAGAAGGGUUUCACUUCAGAUUGAAACACACUUCACUGCCAUAAAGGGGAUAAGAGUUUGCAGAAACUAUAUCUAAACUCAUUACACUGAACAAUGUAUUCCUGCUUUUUCACAUUUCAGUGGGAAAGCAGGAAUCCCUGUGGUGCUCAGAAGCCUUGAACUCUGCAGUUCCUCCAUGUGCCACCCAGACCACUGCUCCAUAUAUCAGACAAGUCAGGUGAACACAAGUGGCCCUCUGCUCUCACUCUCCAACAGAACAAGAGCCAUCACACCUCUCAGGAGUUUCUUGGAGCCAAGCUAGCUAACGGUACCCUGAACUUGCUCUGUUUUCUGGUGCUAAAGGAAAACUUUUGGAAAAAAAAAAAGUAUGAGAGACACAAACAUCAUUACCGAAAACCAGUUUGGAAAUCAGUUCAGUAUCACACACUGCCAAGAUCUGAAGGCUAAGCAUGGAAAAGCCAAGCGUUCAGCCCUGCUAACAUGGUUUUAGAAGGAUUAAUUAGAAGCAGGAAAGGCAGAAGAUAGCACUGACUCAGCUCAGUCUCUAAACAUCUCUCCAGUCAUAGCAUCUGAACCACACAUUCAAUCACAUGCUAGUCUAAAGAAGAAGCCAGCACACACUCGGUGAAAUACCAAGUGGAAAAUGAGCACAAAAAGUUCUCAAGAACUACAGCAGGACCUUGGCUUUGGUUUGCCUGUCCUGGUCUGUUCCAGCAUUCAGCAUCUUCCCUUUGCACUUACAGCUCCUCCAGGCAAAUGAAGGUUGAAGGCAGAGGUCUGCUGAAAGACUGGGCCCUGAGCAUACCAAGGCACCAGUUUUCACUUUUUUUGGAUGCAUUUUGAAAGGGAAAAAAAAAUCCCAGGUGUUGUCUUUGCCCUGUGAUGUCUGCAGCAGCCACAACAACCCAGCUGUGUGCCCCAGCCUCCAGACACAGCCUUACUCCUUCUCGUCAUCCUCCUCCUCCCCCCAGAGGCUGCCAGCCCAUUGCUGCUCUUCCUCAGUGCCUGAAACUGAACAACUGGAUGGAAAAUGAGCCCUCCCCCAGACCAUGGUUACACCAGUGGCACUGCUGUCCCUUUGAUGUGAGCAGAUCCACAGCCACUCUCCUGCAGUGCCUCCCCUCCAGCCCUCCUGCUCUGCUCUGGAGGAGGCAGCUUCCAAACAGGCAUGUGGGCAUCCCUGUGCCCCAUGCUGUGUGCAGGCUGGUCUGUGUAAUGUGAUAAACCAUCACUUCCUUCCUCCUGUGCAUCACUGCUGUUGCUACCUUGGGUUUGGCAGACCGGUGCUGGCUGUGGAACACACUCAGGUGCUGCCUGGCAUACCUACCCUUCCUUGUGACUGCCGGGGCAGACACAUUGCGGCCAGGUUUGCACCGUUUCCAUUGGCACUACUUUGCCUACUGCCAAAAUAAAGGAUCUACUUCAUCAAACCUGCCUUAUAUUUAGCAGACACUACCCCCUCUUAGCUCAGUGUUAAGAUGGACCCAUGCAUUAAGCACUCUGGAGCGCACUGCACAACAAACACCAGCUCUGCUCUAAUAGACCCAAAUGCUCCCCCAGCCUACCCAGACUACCAUGCUCUUUGCUUCCACACCACAUACAGCCUACCAGAGGCAACGUCUUCCACCUGGACUACCAUCAGGCUGAAAGAAAUAUCAGUUGGUUCUCCUGAGCUUGUGCGUACAUUCUCUUUGAAGCAGAUGUUAAUAUACAAGGUAAAGUCCACACUAUAACAAAACAGCAUCCCCCCUAAAUUUAGAUAUAAGUGCUGCAGUUCAUAAGUUAUGAGAGAGAAAAAUGAAGGGAUUCACUUCCGAGUGAUAAGGAAGGAAUGACAGUAAGCGUUUGACACUGCUUAAAUUAGUUUUAUUUUGGAGCCAUUCAAAAUUCAGACUUUGGAUGAAUUCCUUAUGGAGGCAAGUAAAGAAUUUGCUGGCACAAUGAGGAAUAAUCUCCUACCCCAACAAAUGAAACGGCUUAAUUUGAUUUAAUUUCCCCAAUGGUGCAAUGAAGAACAUUCUUUCCAGAUAAGUGUUUCCACUGGCAGUGCUAGUGCUUGUGCUUUUGCUAUGCUCAACAUCCCCAUGUUGCAGACAUUUUGCAUAGGAUGUUAUGAGAAGAGCCUGGGGGAAUCGAAGGCAUUGCUGUGCUCUUCCCUGUGGUACUUCCCUGACCUGCCCAUCCAUGUGCUGCUGUCCACACCAUGCUCACCUGUGCAGCACCGAACAUUGUAGCUCAUGAAGUCCAGAAAUGGGCCUUGUGUGCUUCCUUCUGGGUAGUCCUGAGCACAGACACACCAGUGCAGUAAUUCACAGCUGAGAGGCAAAGGCAGGAGAAAAGCUGCAGGCGUAGGGUUCGUGAUACAGGAACCAGACAUUGCUAAUAACCAAGCACACCUUACUGCUAAGCACUGACAGCCACACACAGUAAACAUAACGACACGUCCUGUUCCAUCUGCACUGUAAGCCGUGUAGUAUGAAAGCUUCAGCAUCCUUUGAAAAGUCCUCCGGCACAAAGAAAUGACCCAACCUAAGGCUGCUCUGUUCAACAGUGAUGAAGCCAUGAAAACCAGCAUUUUCCUUUCUCCUGUCAUUCUGUAGUCUGUUUUUCACUUCCAACCUUAAA
ensembl:lncRNA